rnacentral:rRNA from 1 species
GACGACGCUGGCGGCGUGGAUUAGGCAUGCAAGUCGGACGGUAGGGCUUUAUCGUAAGAUAGAGUUUGAGAGUGGCGAACGGGUGAGUAACACGUAGGAAUCUACCCUUAAGACGGGACAACCCAGGGAAACUUGGACUAAUACCGGAUGAGAGUGCGAGAGAUUGCAUUUAAAGGAUGGCGAAAGUUGUCGCUUAGGGAUGAGCCUGCGGUCUAUUAGUUAGUUGGUGAGGUAAGAGCUCACCAAGGCGAUGAUAGAUAGGCGGCCUUAACGGGUGGUCGCCCACACUGGGAUUGAGAUACGGCCCAGACUCCUACGGGAGGCAGCAGUCGAGAAUAGUCUACAAUGGCCGGAAGGCUGAUAGUGCGACGCCGCGUGAACGAGGGAGCCCUUCGGGGUGUAAAGUUCUUUUCUAUACGAGCAGUGCUAUAUAUAUGGAUAGUAUAUAUAGAGGGAUAGUAGUAUAGGAAUAAGCAACGGCUAACUCCGUG